rnacentral:rRNA from 1 species
GACCAAUUCAUCCACGCGAUCUCUCUGCAUCCCCGCUCCACUUCGUGCCCUAGGCCUAAUCGCCGCACCGGCGAUGACGGUGAGUGAUGCUUUGGGUUGCUGCCACCAGCCCUACUGCUCCCGGUCCCUUUGGUUGUGUUCAUCAAGGUUCCAGUCAACUGAUUUGGGCAAAUCUUGGAGGUUGGUACUCAUCGAGCCGCCGAUCUUCAAUCUGAUCCAUUCAAGUCAGGCUUGACUGAUUGAUGCAGGGCGAAUCAAGGCGGGCCUGACUGAUUGAUGCAGGGCGAAGCAAGGCCGGGGUCAAUUUUUGUUGGUUCUAUCGGUAACGGCCUCGCUCGACACUUCCUUGGCGUUGACACUUACAUGCGGUGGAUUUUCACGCCCCUACGCCCCUUCUUCACUGGACAAUAAUACAAAGGGUAUUCCAAAUUUCCAUCUUUGCUCCUCCUCCAUGCUUUGUUCCCCC